CCUACGGGAGACAGCAGUGGGGAAUAUUGCGCAAUGGGCGAAAGCCUGACGCAGCGACGCCGCGUGAGGGAUGAAGGUCUUCGGAUCGUAAACCUCUGUCAGCAGGGAAGAACGGUCACUGUGCUAAUCAGCAGUGAAUUGACGGUACCUGCAAAGGAAGCACCGGCUAACUCCGUGCCAGCAGCCGCGGUAAUACGGAGGGUGCGAGCGUUAAUCGGAAUUACUGGGCGUAAAGUGCUCGUAGGCGGUAUGUCAAGUCAAGGGUGAAAUCCCCGCGCUCAACGUGGGAACUGCCUUUGAAACUGGCAAACUGGAGUGUGUGAGAGGAUAGUGGAAUUCCAGGUGUAGGAGUGAAAUGCGUAGAUAUCUGGAGGAACAUCAGUGGCGAAGGCGACUAUCUGGCACAUAACUGACGCUGAGGAGCGAAAGCGUGGGUAGCAAACAGGAUUAGAUACCCUUGUAGUC
rnacentral:rRNA from 1 species